AUUGAACGCUGGCGGAAUGCUUUACACAUGCAAGUCGAACGGUAGAGGGGGCAACCCCUUGAGAGUGGCGAACGGGUGAGUAAUAUAUCGGAACGUGCCCAGUCGUGGGGGAUAACGUAGCGAAAGUUACGCUAAUACCGCAUACGAUCUAAGGAUGAAAGCGGGGGAUCGCACGACCUCGCGCGACUGGAGCGGCCGAUAUCAGAUUAGGUAGUUGGUAGGGUAAAGGCCUACCAAGCCAACGAUCUGUAGCUGGUCUGAGAGGACGACCAGCCACACUGGAACUGAGACACGGUCCAGACUCCUACGGGAGGCAGCAGUGGGGAAUUUUGGACAAUGGGCGAAAGCCUGAUCCAGCCAUUCCGCGUGCAGGAUGAAGGCCCUCGGGUUGUAAACUGCUUUUGUACAGAACGAAAAGGUUUCUAUUAAUACUAGGAGCUCAUGACGGUACUGUAAGAAUAAGCACCGGCUAACUACGUG
rnacentral:rRNA from 1 species